rnacentral:rRNA from 1 species
UACGUGGGGUGCGAGCGUUGUCCGGAAUUAUUGGGCGUAAAGGGCUCGUAGGCGGUUUGUCACGUCGGGAGUGAAAACUCGGGGCUUAACCCCGAGCCUGCUUCCGAUACGGGCUGACUAGAGGUAUGCAGGGGAGAACGGAAUUCCUGGUGCAGCGGUGAAAUGCGCAGAUAUCAGGAGGAACACCGGUGGCGAAGGCGGGUCUCUGGGCCGUAACUGACGCUGAGGAGCGAAAGCGUGGGGAGCGAACAGG